AACUCUUAGCGGUGGAUCACUCGGCUCGUGCGUCGAUGAAGAACGCAGCUAGCUGCGAGAACUAAUGUGAAUUGCAGGACACAUUGAUCAUCGACCUUUCGAACGCACCUUGCGGCCCCGGGUUCCUCCCGGGGCGUACGCCUGUCUGAGAGUCG
rnacentral:rRNA from 10 species